rnacentral:rRNA from 1 species
CCGGCACGGGUGAGUAACACGUAUCCAACCUGCCGUCUACUCUUGGACAGCCUUCUGAAAGGAAGAUUAAUACAAGAUGGCAUCAUGAGUCCACAUGUUCACAUGAUUAAAGGGUAUUCCGGUAGACGAUGGGGAUGCGUUCCGUUAGAUAGUAGGCGGGGUAACGGCCCACCUAGUCUUCGAUGGAUAGGGGUUCUGAGAGGAAGGUCCCCCACAUUGGAACUGAGACACGGUCCAA